rnacentral:rRNA from 1 species
CCUACGGGUGGCUGCAGUGGGGAAUAUUGGACAAUGGGCGAAAGCCUGAUCCAGCCAUGCCGCGUGUGUGAAGAAGGCCUUCGGGUUGUAAAGCACUUUCAGUGGGGAAGAAAGCCUUGGGGCUAAUACCCUCGAGGAAGGACAUCACCCACAGAAGAAGCACCGGCUAACUCCGUGCCAGCAGCCGCGGUAAUACGGAGGGUGCGAGCGUUAAUCGGAAUUACUGGGCGUAAAGCGCGCGUAGGCGGUCUGAUAAGCCGGUUGUGAAAGCCCCGGGCUCAACCUGGGAACGGCAUCCGGAACUGUCAGGCUAGAGUGCAGGAGAGGAAGGUAGAAUUCCCGGUGUAGUGGUGAAAUGCGUAGAGAUCGGGAGGAAUACCAGUGGCGAAGGCGGCCUUCUGGACUGACACUGACGCUGAGGUGCGAAAGCGUGGGUAGCAAACAGGAUUAGAUACCCCAGUAGUC